rnacentral:rRNA from 1 species
UCCUACGGGAGGCAGCAGUAAGGAAUAUUGCGCAAUGGGCGAAAGCCUGACGCAGCGACGCCGCGUGGGGGAUGAAGGUCUUCGGAUUGUAAACCCCUUUCGGGAGGGAAGAUGGAACGAGCAAUCGUUCGGACGGUACCUCCAGAAGCAGCCACGGCUAACUUCGUGCCAGCAGCCGCGGUA